UAUCUUGUAUUGUUUCUUUUUUUUAAUUAAUCUCAACAAAACCUAAACUGCUCAUAAAAAAACUAAAGGAUGGUGCCAUAAUUUUGCAGCUGAGAGGAAAGCAAAUCUAGCAUGGAAAGAUGGAUGAUGGUCGAGUGUGGACAUGGACAGAAUGACAAGUCCUGACCCGCCAGCAACUAAAACACACGCCCAGGAAUGUAAUCACGUAUUGUCCUUUGAAGACGUGAUAUGGUGCGGACUUCUACCACAGGUUACAAGAGGUAAAAGAAGAAGAAAAAGCCCCGGAAAUGAAAUGGAAACUCCGGGGCUUGGUUGAAGUGUCCCGUUAGGAAGAUCCCCACAGUGCCGAUGAUGAAAAGAAGAAUGGCAGCCCAGAAACACACCUUGUCAAUCAUCUUCCCAAUCAGCACCCAGCUUUCAA